rnacentral:rRNA from 1 species
GUCUACUGCCAUGCCACCCUGAACAUGCCCUAUCUCGUCUGAUCUCGGAAGCUAAGCAGGAUCGGGCCUGGUUAGUAGGGAGACCACCUAGGAAUACCAGGUGCCGUAGUCU